GCCUCGGUGGCGUAGUGGUCAAGACGCUCCCCUGGUAAACAGGAGGGCGUGGGUUCGAUCCCAGCCGAGGUA
rfam:Asian citrus Psyllid, Diaphorina citri - Florida Strain, whole genome shotgun sequence.